rnacentral:rRNA from 1 species
GAUGAACGCUGGCGGCGUGCCUAAUACAUGCAAGUCGAGCGAACAGACGAGGAGCUUGCUCCUCUGACGUUAGCGGCGGACGGGUGAGUAACACGUGGAUAACCUACCUAUAAGACUGGGAUAACUUCGGGAAACCGGAGCUAAUACCGGAUAAUAUAUUGAACCGCAUGGUUCAAUAGUGAAAGACGGUUUUGCUGUCACUUAUAGAUGGAUCCGCGCCGCAUUAGCUAGUUGGUAAGGUAACGGCUUACCAAGGCGACGAUGCGUAGCCGACCUGAGAGGGUGAUCGGCCACACUGGAACUGAGACACGGUCCAGACUCCGACGGGAGGCAGCAGUAGGGAAGCUGCCGCAAUGGGCGAAAGCCUGACGGAGCAACGCCGCGUGAGUGAUGAAGGUCUUCGGAUCGUAAAACUCUGUUAUUAGGGAAGAACAAAUGUGUAAGUAACUAUGCACGUCUUGACGGUACCUAAUCAGAAAGCCACGGCUAACUACGUG